GCUGAGGCAGGAGAAUUGCUUGAACCCGGGAGGCGGA
rnacentral:antisense_RNA from 1 species